rnacentral:rRNA from 1 species
GUGAUAGCAGUAAAGUUAGGGGAAUGUUCUGGGAAGGACAAUCGUAGAGGGUGAUAAUCCCGUACCUUAAAACUCCAUUGUGGUACUAGGCUAACAACAAGUAGGGCGGGACACGUGAUAUCCUGUUUGAAGAUGGGGGGACCAUCCUCCAAGGCUAAAUACUCCUGAUUGACCGAUAGUGAACCAGUACUGUGAAGGAAAGGCGAAAAGAACCCCGGCGAGGGGAGUGAAAUAGAACCUGAAACCUUGUGCGUACAAGCAGUGGGAGCUCUUAGGAGUGACUGCGUACCUUUUGUAUAAUGGGUCAGCGACUUAUAUUUUGUAGCAAGGUUAACUGAAUAAGGGAGCCGUAGGGAAACCGAGUCUUAACUGGGCGUGUAGUUGCAAGGUAUAGACCCGAAACCCGGUGAUCUAGCCAUGGNNNNNNNNNNCAGGUUGAAGGUUGGGUAACACUAACUGGAGGACCGAACCGACUAAUGUUGAAAAAUUAGCGGAUGACUUGUGGCUGGGGGUGAAAGGCCAAUCAAACCGGGAGAUAGCUGGUUCUCCCCGAAAUCUAUUUAGGUAGAGCCUUGAGCGGACACCUUCGGGGGUAGAGCACUGUUUCGGCUAGGGGUCCAUCCCGGAUUACCAACCCGAUGCAAACUGCGAAUACCGAAGAGUGAUACUCAGGAGACACACGGUGGGUGCUAACGUCCAUCGUGGAGAGGGAAACAACCCAGACCGCCAGCUAAGGUCCCAAAGUCUAUAUUAAGUGGGAAACGAAGUGGGAAGGCUUAGACAGCUAGGAUGUUGGCUUAGAAGCAGCCACCAUUUAAAGAAAGCGUAAUAGCUCACUAGUCGAGUCGGCCUGCGCGGAAGAUGUAACGGGGCUAAAAUAUAGCACCGAAGCUGCGGCAUCAGACGAAAGUCUGUUGGGUAGGGGAGCGUUGUGUAAGUCGAUGAAGGUGGAUUGAGAAGUCUGCUGGAGAUAUCACAAGUGCGAAUGCUGACAUAAGUAACGAUAAAACGAGUGAAAAACUCGUUCGCCGGAAGACCAAGGGUUCCUGUCCAACGUUAAUCGGGGCAGGGUGAGUCGGCCCCUAAGGCGAGGCUGAAAAGCGUAGUCGAUGGGAAACGGGUUAAUAUUCCCGUACUUGUAAUAACUGCGAUGUGGGGACGGAGAAGGUUAGGUUAGCAGACUGUUGGAUGUCUGUUUAAGCCGGUAGGUGGGAAGAUUAGGCAAAUCCGGUCUUCCUUAACACCGAGAAGUGAUGACGAGUCUCUACGGAGAUGAAGUAACCGAUACCACGCUUCCAGGAAAAGCCACUAAGCUUCAGGUUAUUAUAAACCGUACUAUAAACCGACACAGGUGGUCAGGUAGAGAAUACUCAGGCGCUUGAGAGAACUCGGGUGAAGGAACUAGGCAAAAUAGCACCGUAACUUCGGGAGAAGGUGCGCCGGCGUAGAUUGUAGUCCCUUGCGGAUGAAGGUUGAACCGGUCGAAGAUACCAGCUGGCUGCAACUGUUUAUUAAAAACACAGCACUCUGCAAACACGAAAGUGGACGUAUAGGGUGUGAUGCCUGCCCGGUGCUGGAAGGUUAAUUGAUGGUGUUAUCGCAAGAGAAGCUCCUGAUCGAAGCCCCAGUAAACGGCGGCCGUAACUAUAACGGUCCUAAGGUAGCGAAAUUCCUUGUCGGGUAAGUUCCGACCUGCACGAAUGGCAUAAUGAUGGCCAGGCUGUCUCCACCCGAGACUCAGUGAAAUUGAAAUCGCCGUGAAGAUGCGGUGUACCCGCGGCUAGACGGAAAGACCCCGUGAACCUUUACUAUAGCUUGACACUGAACAUUGAAUUUUGAUGUGUAGGAUAGGUGGGAGCCUUAGAAGCAGUCACGCCAGUGAUUGUGGAGGCGUCCUUGAAAUACCACCCUUUAACGUUUGAUGUUCUAACGAAGAUUACGAAACGUGGUCUCGGACAGUGUCUGGUGGGUAGUUUGACUGGGGCGGUCUCCUCCCAAAGAGUAACGGAGGAGCACGAAGGUUUGCUAAUCACGGUCGGACAUCGUGAGGUUAGUGCAAUGGUAUAAGCAAGCUUAACUGCGAGACAGACAAGUCGAGCAGGUGCGAAAGCAGGUCAUAGUGAUCCGGUGGUUCUGAAUGGAAGGGCCAUCGCUCAACGGAUAAAAGGUACUCCGGGGAUAACAGGCUGAUACCGCCCAAGAGUUCAUAUCGACGGCGGUGUUUGGCACCUCGAUGUCGGCUCGUCACAUCCUGGGGCUGAAGUAGGUCCCAAG